rnacentral:rRNA from 1 species
GAUGAACGCUAGCGGCAGGCCUAACACAUGCAAGUCGAGGGGUAGAGGAAGCUUGCUUCCUUGAGACCGGCGCACGGGUGCGUAACGCGUAUGCAAUCUACCUUUUACAGAGGGAUAGCCCAGAGAAAUUUGGAUUAAUACCUCAUAGUAUUUUCGAAUGGCAUCAUUUGAUUAUUAAAGUUCCAACGGUAAAAGAUGAGCAUGCGUCCUAUUAGCUAGAUGGUAAGGUAACGGCUUACCAUGGCAACGAUAGGUAGGGGUCCUGAGAGUGAGAUCCCCCACACUGGUACUCAGAAACGGACCGGACUCCUCCGGGAGGCAGCAGUGAGGAAUAUUGGACAAUGGUCGCAAGCCGGAUCCAGCCAUGCCGCGUGCAGGAAGACGCAUCUAUGGUGUGUAAACUGCUUUUGUACGGGAAGAAACACUCCCUCGUGAGGGAGCUUGACGGUACCGUAAGAAUAAGGAUCGGCUAACUCCGUGCCAGCAGCCGCCGUAACAC